GUCCCAGUCAUCUCAACAUAGCUGAGCUAGAUUCAUCCCACGUGGAACUUACCUGAAUGCAGGAAAUUCUGUCAUUUCUGUGUUGUACACUAUUUUUGUGCUUGUUCAGGACUUGCCAACAAAAAUAAUCACCACAUAGACAGCUCCUAACCAGCAGAACUUAGAAUUUAAAGGACCAAUGCAAAACAGAGGAAACCCCAAUCACUUUUCUGUUAAGUAUCACUAGAACCAUAUGGAACUCUGACAUUUACCAGUACAAAAGAUAAACUCCCCCCCCUUUUUUUUAAUUAUUACUACUUUUUAUUUAAUUGUCUCCAUUUUGGACUGAUGGUUUUCUUUCAGAACUUCCCUGUAAGGGGCAUCUUGUCCCAAAGAGCUCUCUGGGAAUACUGGACCAUCCUUUUUGAUGUGGUGUGAAAUCCAGGCUUGUGUCAACCACUGCUGGUGUUUGAACAGACAGAGAGAAGAGCUCAGAUCUCCAGAUCCAAAAAUAAAACCAGACAUACCCCACCCUCUCCAAGGUGUUUGGAUAGUCCAAAUCUUCAUGCAACAGCCCUGCACUGCCUGAAGGUCCAUCUGCAUUCCAUAAGACAGCAUUUUCCCAGAGUUUUGAUAUGUCCACUGUGCAAUAUGGAAGCUCAAAGUAAACAGGGUGUAUCCUAUGGUCUGCAUUGGUGUUCAAAAGUCCACUGUGCUAAUUGUUGUCUAAAACCAGCUCAAAGGACUGUCUGGUGUCAAAGAGAACCAGAGGCAGCACCCUGCUCGAGGAAACCUACCUGUUUUUUUGUGUGCCAUGUUUUUAAAGAGAGCUUCGUACAACCUUGUGACAGUUUCAACUGUGACUUUGAAUAAAAUCCGCUAUUCCCAUGGAAGGAGUAUUUUAUUUAGACAUCUUGCUGUCAUGGGAAAAGGCACCAGGAUCUCAGGAGCUUCAGGCCCUACCCCUGCCACUGUUCAGGAUGCUGUAUUUCCUCCUGAGACCUCUCAGGCUGACCCCAGUGGCUCUGACUACUGCAGGGAGACCUGGCCACUUUGGGGAAGGAUGGCUGAUGUGCAAACCUCUGGAAAACAAAGGUCUGACCUGCAAAAUGCUGAGCUGAAGUCCUAAAUCAUCUUAUUGGUGUAGCAACAUGCAAAUCCUCUGUAACUGAGCAUUUAGAAACAUUUGCAUCAACCACCUACCACUUGAUUGCUCUAGCUGUGCACAAUAUACGCAC
ensembl:lncRNA